GUCAGGUUAACUGAGAGGCUCAGAGGCGCAUCUGACAGAGCUGCUGUUUCAGCAAACAUUUAAUCUAUAAUACACGUAUAGGGUACUAUACAGUAUUGAUUGAGAAACUUUUUAUAGCUUUUUUUAAAGAAAAAAAAAUCUUUGCCGCCACUCUAAGGUGUAAAUGUUCACGUGUAUAAUUUUUACUUGCAGAUAAUAAAAUAUUUGUCACCACUCACCACAGAGGGAUGAAGAAAAUCAACUUUUUUACCGACUUGCUUCUUUUAUGCAUAGCCAGUGAUGCGAGCGCGUGGAUCGUCAACAAUGCGACUGACAAGCUCAUUGGAGCCAAGAUCACCGAUAUCAAUAUAUCGGAAGUGGGGGAUGAAGGAUUGGCAUCCAUGCCCAGAUCAAGGCGAAAACGUUACAUUUCGCAGCGUGACAUGAUAGCUAUUCUGGACUAUCACAAUAAGGUGCGAGCGAAUGUUUUCCCACCUGCCGCCAACAUGGAGUACAUGGUUUGGGAUGAUGGCCUGGCCAGGUCUGCAGAAGCUUGGGCAGCAACCUGUAUUUGGGAACAUGGACCGUCAUACCUUCUCCGAUAUCUGGGUCAGAACCUCUCAGUACAAACUGGCAAUUACCGCUCCAUUCUUCAGCUGGUUAAACCAUGGUAUGAUGAGGUCAGAGAUUAUGUGUUUCCAUACCCACAUGACUGCAAUCCCCGCUGCCCGAUGCACUGUUAUGGACCCAUGUGCACACAUUACACACAAAUGGUGUGGGCGUCAACAAACAGAGUUGGAUGUGCCAUUCAAACCUGUUACAAUAUGGUUGUGUGGGGUGCUGUGUGGAGGGAGGCAACAUACUUGGUCUGCAAUUAUUCACCAAAGGGCAACUGGAUUGGUGAAGCACCUUACAGAGUUGGUGUACCGUGCUCAGCCUGUCCUCCUAGCUAUGGAGGUUCAUGCAGCAACAACAUUUGCUUUCCUGCCAUCAACUCAAACUUCAUGUACUGGUUUAAAUAAGAUGCCUACCAUAUCUUUAAUGCUAUUGAGUGAUUGGAGUAUUACAGUGGCUUACUGUGUAUUCUUUUGGAACGUCUAUGCAUUUUCUACAGCAGAUGUUGCUUUUUGUAUGUGAGAUUCCAAAAAUGGUGCUAAUGCCAAUACAAUCUUAACAUCACUGUUUAAGACACAGCCAUGCUCAUGGAUUAGAUUAGUUAUAUUUUCCUCUGGUGAACAGAUCAAGUCUGUGCUGGUGAUCAUUCUAUGGGUUAUACAACAAAGUUUACUGUAUAUUCCACUUUUUACAUGCAUUUUUUAUAGUCCAUAACCAUCAAUGUUUUUCCAAGGUGCUUAAACAUAGAAAAAUUCAAGAUAUAUUUUGUUUAAUGAAAAGAUAACUUCGUACGAAGUGGUGACUGGAAUGGCACAAUUAUAGCUGUCAGUGUUGUUUCAGUUGCAACUGCCACACUGUGGUUUUUGUAAUGAUAACUUUGAAUGUAUUUUCUGCAUUUUUAUUUGGUCAUCAGAAAGCAUGUAAAGUUCUCAUACCUCUGUUUUGAUAAAUUGUGAUGUAUGUCUAUGUGUGGGUGUUUUUGUGUAUGUAACAUUUAAUUGUAUAGAUUGGGAAUUGAUGAUAAAUGAUAAUGAAACGGUGCUGUGCCAAAUAUUGUUACUCUGAAUGUGAUUUGCUUUUCUUUUCACAUAAUAAUUGCUAUAUGAUAAUAUCGUACUAGUUACAGUACACUUACAUGAUCUCAGAUUGUGACCUCUUCCCUAAUUCCCACAUCCAAGUCUGUUUUAUAGUUCUCUUGAGGGGAGGAAGUAGAUCUAAGCUUGUCAAACCCUGUUAAGCUAUGUUAAUGCAAGUUGGUAACUGAUCUCCAUUUGUAUUCCAUGCAAGAAAGGACGUGAUAGGGGUUGGGAACAACAGGAGUAACCUUAAUAUUGGCAUUGGAUCUGAGGGAAAGGAAACUGAAAGACUUCCCCCUCAGCGUCACGGAAUAACAAUUGUAAUAAUUAAGCUCUCACCUGAAAAUAUGCAGUGGAUCAAACACUCUGCAUUACCUGGGCCUGCUGAAAGGUCUACAGUUUUAAUACCAAAGAAAAAUGAUCCUUUACCAGUUGCAUGGCUGUUCUGCAGAUAUGCACAUUGUAAAGUGUGCCUCUAAAGGGAAGUUUCACUCUUUCUGUACUAAAAGUACAAGAGAAAUACCAGAUUAUUGUGUGAUAAAGUAAGGAAAAGCUUGAAAUUUAAAUGCAAGCUCUGGAAAUUAAUUGUUAAUAUGUAUUCAGUACAAAUUUCAUGUUCAUGGAGUAUUCUCAGUUCGUGGUGUUCAAAGUAUCUAUCUAUGUAUCCACUUAAUGCCGCCAUCUAGUGUUUUCUUGCCUUAUGGCAAAUGA